rnacentral:lncRNA from 1 species
CUGACAUAUUGAUUCUUUGAAAAGAAAUUUAGAACUCAUAUCUAACAUGGGAGAGUGGGAAGAGGAAGAAGAUACAAAUGACCAGUACCAGGACUGAAAGGGAGAUAUCACUGCAGACCCUACAGACAUUAAAAAGGCUAAUAAGGGAAUACAAUAAACAAUUUUAUGCAUACAAAUUCAACAGUUUAGAUGAGAUGGACAAAUUCCUUGGAAAUUAUAAAUGCCAAAAGUCACCCCAAACUGAAUUUUUAGUGACUGGAGGCAUUUAUCUCAGUGGACUCUCCAGACUUUAUUCAAAGCCAUUGCCUGCUUCCAUCAAGCUUAGUCUUGAAUCUUUACCAAUGUUUGAUUUAUUCCUCUUACUUUUUUUUCUAUUAACUUUGAAUACCAUCCCUCCUCCUUUCCAAGACUUUAUUUAUUGUGAGUGAUAAUUGACAUAACCUUCAGGAACCUCAGAAACCUUAGGCAUCUGCAGAAACAUUUUGAAGCAUAUCAGACUAGCCUAUCUUUCUAGAAACCCGAUUCCCAUUCCCCUCUGCCAAACCCCUCAGCGGCGAUGUGUAUACUUUGUAUUAGUGCAUAUUCAGGAAGGUUCAAAGCACUUGUCUGCUACUCUUUGCAUGGCCACACCCUCAGUCAAGGGCCUUUCUGCUUCCAGCAUCAUUACAGAUGGAUUUGAGGCUUUGGGCUAUCUCCAGGGGAGCCAUCUCCUCCAGGUUUUUGUUCCCUUUUCUGACUCAGAACUUAACCAUUCUGGCAAAACUUUCUGUGGUGUGGCCAUAGUUACAGUACAGCGUUUGCAUUCUAUGGGUCUUACAACACUAUCCCCCAAAUCCACCAAUUUUCAGUAGCAUGUAGCUUGUCUCAUAAGCUUUAUUUCCUGCUUUAAAGGAUGAACAGUCCUCAGAGGAACCAAGUUCCUUGCCCAAAUAAUUUUGGCAAGGCUAAGACACUGAAGGACAUCUAUACGCCUUGUUUUCUCAUACAUCUUAGGCCUGUAAAUUCUGGUUUAUGGGUUCACAUCCAGAGUCCCUCCUUUCUUUCCAGCUUUCCAAUUAGUUUCUGUUAAUUUAUAUGGUAGAAAAUACAUAUUUCAAAGACGUAGUUCUUAGCUCUGUCUCAAAGUGCUUAAGCAGUUUUUAUCAAUUUCUUCUUAUUUGGGAGUGGUAUCCCCAAGCUAAUACCGCCUGUGAGGGAAAAAUAUAUACUCUUAGGCAACAUUUUGCUAGUAGCUUGAUAAUCAUAAGAGUGUCUUCUUGCUAGCAAUAUUUUGAGUACAACAGCAACAGAGUGUGCAAUGGAUUCACUGGUUAAGCCAAAAAGUUAUAAUGUUUGAACCUCCCAAGGGCCACCUCCAUAUUUAAUAUGAAUUUCUUUAAACCACCAGAGCUGGGCCUCAUUUCUCCCAUACUCUGUGGGAGUUCUGACUUUCAUCCAAGAUCUUCCCUAUGACUUUAAGAGCAGAAAGACAUGGUCCUUGUGGUGUCUCCCAAACUGGACUCCUCUUAGUUACAAGUGGACUAUGACUGACUUAUUAAAAUGAUCCUCAUCUUUCCAGAAACACUUGAAUGCUGCCACCAGUAUAUUUUUUAGCUGAGACCUUCCUCUUCCUUUUUUCCCCAUAACCAGAAUCUGUGGUCUGUGCUAACAUUGCUUCUCCAUGAAAAUUUCACUCCCACUCCACUCUUUCUACCUUUCUGCAGAUGCCUGCACUUUCACCGCAAAUCAUGAAAUGAUUACAUAUUUUUAACAGCAUUAUUGAGAUUAAAUUUAUUUACCAUAAAGCUCACCCAGGUAGCAGUGGCUGCCAGCUAUACCCUUUCAUAGAAUUAGCCUUUUCUUUAGGCUUUGCUCUUCUCAAAACAAAUACUUCCCUUUUUGUUCUCUUGUUUCCUCUUGUAAGUCCCUAGGAUUAUUAAACAUAGGGCUUGAAUUUCACUUUGAAAUGUUUUCCACGUUUGUGGUAAUAAUGUCACCUGAGGGUUUCUACUAGAUUAAGUAAAGGAAGAAACAGAGUGGGAGGGGAAUGAAGUGUGACAAACUCUCUUAUAAAAGAUAAGGCAAAAAUGGCAGUCAAUUAUUGUUUCUGAUAAAUGUAAUGUCAUCCAAUAAUUUAUAGUAAUUCUGAGAACUAUAGCCAGUAAAAUGAAUUUGCAUAGUCUGUCUUCUUUAGGACACUGAUUUUCAAACUUGAAUGCACACUGGAAUCACCCGAGGAAUUUAAAAAAACACCGACACCUGGAUCCCACACAAGGACCCUGAUUUAAAUGGAUAAUCCUCACCAGCCUCAGAGUUCAUGUCUGAAAGUAUAGAGGCGGCAGAUAACCAAUGCAAGUGAACAUGGGUGAAAAUGGAUGAAAGUCCAUCUGGGCUGUCUGCAAAAUGAGAAGAUUCUAGACACUGUUUCUUAAAUACCUUGGAGGCGAGGAUCACAAAAUGCUCUCAGAAGUUUAUGAAAGCUAUGGAGUCUCCGGAAAUAUUCAGAAUUUUGCAUGUUCUGGAUGAAGCCUUCCACCAUUUUAAAGCUCCUUUUAUGGAUAUUUCUGGUUUUGGUCUCAGAUUUUCAUUCUCCAAACAUUCUCUUUAGAUGACCACAUUCACUUUCAAGUAUUCAUGCCAAAUAAAUCUUCAUUUCCAGCCCAGACCUCCCUCCAAACUCUUGGUUUGUUUAGUCACUUGCAACACAGAUUAUUCAUCCAGAUUUCCAUGGGCAUCUCAAAAUCAACACAUCCAAAAUGAAGUUAUCAUCCCUGAUAAUCCUCCUAGCUCCUGUCCCAUUCAUCUCCCUCCCAUCUCUCACCCAUAAAGAAUUAACUACUGAUGUUUCUCACUAACCAACCCAUAAUAAUGACCUGCAUUAAUUAAUCCAUGUGCAAUUCAGAAUUACUUACAUUCAUUUAUCCAUGUGAUAUUUUCACUCAUUAAUCACCAUCGUCUGCAUAUGUAAACAGGAACAACAACAUCCACCUAUCCCAGCAGGGGUUUUGCAAUUACUUUAAAGCCUUUUCAAAUAUAUUUUUGUGUGAUUAAAAUGAUGGAGAUAUUUCAAAUGAAUUCAAGUAUAAAAUGCAAAAUAUUCCAACUUCAUAAACUGUUUACUUCUGGCUUAGAAAAUGUUAAUAUUUUUACUCAACCCAUCUGGCUCUGGAGAUGCUGUGUGUGCUUGAUAAUUGUAUGUGAAAAUUAUUAUUUGCAUCUUUAAAAAUUACUUGAGGAAUGCUAUUUAUUAAACUUGUUAUUCCUAUCUAUUUUUUGACAACAUAAUACAACUUUAAAUUCAAAAGAAAAAUUGACAAGACAUAUUUUAGCAGUUUAAAAUGAACAUCACAGAUACAAAAUGAUCAAAGUAAAAUAUUAUUAGCUGUAGAUGACUCAAAUAUUUCCUCGUCUUACUGUCUUUUGUUUUGAUGUGAUUUCCUUCCAUCCUUAAAAAAUCCUGUAGCACCAUCUGCUCCUAUAACACUUUGGCAUGCUUAAAAAUUUCAUUUCCAGACUCGGCAGUUUUGAAAUACUUCCAUGGACAUUUCUUAAAGAAAAUAAGUUGGAAGAAUUUCCAUUCCUCCCAGCUUGUUUCUUAAUAAACAGCAGACGAAGUACUCAAGAAACACAGAGCUAUAUAAAUGUUUUGUUAUAAUCAGACAUUUCCCUUCUGAUUUUCCCUCUGACCCUGUGGCUAUAUUAUGCCUGAGGAAACAGUAUUUUAUAUGCUAUGUGCACAGUUUAUGCAACAAUUUUUUAAUAUGCAGAUCUGGUUUUAUAAUCUGAAUUCUAAAAUGUAAUGAAUUUCCAUGAAGUGUAUGUUUCAUGGAUAAGCCAGCAUUUAAUAAAUGACUAGAUUACCCAAACACUCCAAGGGAAGUUGGAGACUAAGCAAGUAAUAUCAGUAAAAAUAAUCCAAUAAACUAAAUAGAUUCUCCUUCUACGAAAUUUAACCAUACAUUUAGAAAAAAUUAGACUUCCAGUUUUUGACAGCGGUAAUGGAAAAUUAAGUGGCUCAUUUUUUCAAUGUGUAUGACUCCAAGUCGUUGAAACUGAUACAGAAGUAUAAAUAAGAGGUAUUAAGUGAUGCUGAAACUGUGGUAGGAGAAAUAGCAAUGGACUAAUGGCCUCCUCAGGGAAGCCUAAAUAUAGGUGUUGCAUUGUUUACAAAUAUAUUCAUCCUUUUAGUCACUUAUUCAGCAUAUAUCAAACACCUACUAUGUCUAGAUUUCAUGUUAGUUUCUGCAAUGAAUCAAUAAUUUCCUUGUCAUUUUAAAAUAAUAUUUAUCUAUCAUCUUAGAGAUGCAACUUGGUCCCCUUCAUCCAGCAAUUUCUACUCUAACCCGUUUUUCACAUAAUAGCCAGAGUAAAUUUUGUAAAGUUACAAUUGUAUUGUAGGAUAAAGGUCUAACUCCUUAAUGUGGUUUACAAUGCCCUUUACAAAAGUCUCACUUUUACUUACCCUCUUAGUCUCUGCCUUUCUACACUUACUGUCUAGCCAUACUGAAUUACUUCGCUGUCACUCGAGACUUAGUUCUUUGCAUGCUCUUUCCUCCACCAAAAAUAUUUUUUUUUCUCCUCUCCUUACCUGGCUUCUUUUUUAAAAACUUUUAUUUAUUUAUUUAUUU